AAGUGGGGCCCAUGGCCAUGCCCCACACACUGGAUUUCACUCACGGUUCACCUUCCACCACAGAUCCGAUCUUCGUUCUUAUCCUAUCCUUGCUGCUAUGAGCAGAAACAUUUUUCUUCACUCCACGCUCUCAAGCUCAUAUCGUCUCCCAUCCCAACCAUUAAUGGAGCAUCCGGAGCAGAUGCAAGUGCGUGGAGCCUCGAAUCAAACUGCCCUUCUCCGACCUAGCACGGAUCAUAUGUGGUCAGCAAGUAUUGAGAUUUGGGGACUGAUGCAGGGAAUUGUGCACGAAAAAGAAGAUGAACAGCAUAAACGUGAUUUUUUUUCUCUCUAUAACUGGAUACGCUUAUUCCCAUUUCCUCCCAAAGUUUCUUGUCGCUUCAUUUUUUUCCACCAAACAGAAGCUUCAAAUUCAGCUCGCCCAGAACAUGGAUUCUCCACUUAUCCUCAGAGAUUAACUCUUCCAAUUUUUUGAUCAGUGGACCAACUCCGCUCCCGCCAUCCUAAAAUAUUUUUCGCUGACUUGCGCGCGCCACCCAGCAAAUAUGGCGGGCUUGGACCCAUAAAGUAAAAACUAACACUGCACGUCAUCCUAUAAUCUAGCUCACGCCGCCGCAUCCUUCCUCCUCCCAUUACGAACCCAGCCUCCCUCCGUUCUCCAAUCGAAUCCCGCCGCCGUACACCUGACGCCAGGUGACCCGACUCUGUUGCACAUUGGGGGCACCGUGGCUGCUCAAUGUUGUCGUACGCGUGCCGAGGAUCUGGUCGGUGCUCCUUCCAUCACCGCCAUUGCAGAUUAGAACGGGCCAAAGUCCCUCCAACUCAGGAUAGGAUGGCAAACCACCGUAGUUGGAUGUACACUGGGCGUAGGAAUCGGGAUGAGAUUAGUGAGGAGUGGAUGCAGAAAACCACAGGCAUGUUCGCAAAGUUACAUCAGUAGAAGUGAGGCAUGCAAGAUGUACCCCCCAGUGCAGCAGUACAUGCAGGCAAUUCCUUAUUGGUUUGCAACGUGCCCAAACGCAUGGCGGAUGCUCGCAGAGAUGUGGAACACCCCUGAAUGGAUAGCUAAAUCAAGAGCAGGCAGGGCACGGAAGGAGAAGAAACUUCGAAUCCAUCGCCAAGGAAGUGCUUCUGCUGCUAGGUACCAAAGAAAUAUGGAGAAGAAGUUGAAGAGGCCAGUUCCUGAAAUUGAGGCCUACCUAAUGGCAAGAACAGAAGAGGGGAAAGAUUAUGCUGAUAUUGAUGCUCAUGAUAAUGUUAUGGCAUAUGCAGAAGCUUGUGAAGCAUUGCAUGGUCCUGACUUCGAAUGGGACAAAUAACCCAUUGAUGGUGUAGCUGCAUACAAGACGGGGCAUGGCAAGAAGCAUGGUCGUUAUCUAGUCGGAGAUGGCAUGGUCAGCACACCAACAGUGCUACGUGAGGUGCGAGUAUCCAGCACUGCAGGCGAGCCAACAGACCAACCACCACCACAACAACAAAGACGUCGACUUAAUCCUGAAGAAGCGUAGCAGAUUGAGCAGCACAUGUAUGAAGAGAUGGAGCGAUGGCGGCAGCAGGAGCAUGAGGUGAUGGAGCGGAAGCUGCAGCAGGAGCGCGAGGAGAUGGAGCGGAAGCAGCAGCAGGAGCGUGAGGACAUGGAGCGGAAGAUGCAGCAGAAGCACGCUCAGAUGGAACAAAAGCUACAACAGGAACGUGAGGCGUGGGAGUCUGAGAUACAACCGGAGAGGGAGUACUAUAAAACUGUCAUAUCUGCCAUUACAGAACGCCUACAGAUGGACCUUCCUCCACCUCCACAUCCUGGACAUGCAAUAUUUUCUCAUCUGUCUACAUGAAACUUGGGCCAUGCCUCAAAUGCUCCAAGUAUGGUAGCAAGAGAGAUUGGUUCAUCAGAUGCAAUGGUUAGCAUGGCAAUUCUAGGAUUUACCUCAUAAUUUUCUUUCUUGGCAGCAAUGGUUUUGUUGAAUAAUGUCAGUAUGUUCAACAAACCGUUUCUUUGUUUUGUAUAUUUGUAUAUAUGAACCAUCUAUUCAAGUACUAGUUAUCCAGACUUAAGCCUAUGCAUGUACUGUUUCAGUGACCGCUGCCAUUAAAGUAAAGUUGGAUUUGAUCAUCUA